UGUUUUUAAACAAUUCCAUUUUAUAAAUAUCAUUUUAUGAAAAUCAUUAUUUAGUACAUUAUUAUUGCAUAAAACAAGGAAAUGUAAGAAACAUUUUAAGAGGUGCCACAUAGCACAAUGGAGGUUUAGAAGCAAUCUAAACUUUGCUUAUAGAGAUUACAUAGAGAUAUAGAUAAAUAGAUGCCANNNNNNNNNNNNNNNNNNNNNNNNNNNNNNNNNNNNNNNNNNNNNNNNCAUUUUAUUUGUGUUUGGACAAUAUAUAAUACAAAAGUUGUAUGUGCAUUAAUUGUAUGUCACGAAUGGUUCUUUUUUCCCUAUCAUAGAAAUUAAAAAGGUCAAAAUAUUAUAAACUAAAUAUGAGAAAAAAUAAUAGUAACAGUAACAACAGUAGUACAUAAAAAAUGAAAUACCACAACAAAAACCACCUAACCACUCCACAAAGUAAGCAAAUACAACCCGCUCAAGAUAUAUCAAACAAAACCCCUAAAAAGCGAAUUUAAUUUACAGUUUGCAAUCUAGAACACGAACUCUUUUUUAUCAUGAAUUUUUUUCAUUCAUAUGGGGGGCUCACAAGUUGAGUUUGAGUAUAAAAUAUUGUCACUCGCUACGCAGAGUACAAACUGAAACACAAAUUGCUAUUUAGAGUGUGAACCCUUUACACUUUAAAUAGUGUACCUUAUAAAAAUAUGACCACUAUCAUUUAUCAUAUUUUAAUUUGCCACUGGAACGGUUGUGACAUUAUCAACAAACCCACACACACAUCAUAAAUAUAUAUAUAUAUAUAUAUAUUUAAUGAGAGAUGAAAGAAGGAUGAAGAAGACAAAAAAAUUUGAUUUUUAUAAGGUUCGCAUCCUAGAAUGUGAGCUCAGUUUACAGUUUGCUAUCUAGAAAACAAACUCAGUUUGCGGUUUGUUACCUAAAAAGCGAACUAUUUUUUUCUCUCAAUUUUUGCUAUUUACACUGUUGCCUUCUAACUAGCUAGCAAGAGGUGUAAAUUUAGAAUAUUAGAGGACGUGCAUGUAAAUCGGGAGUGCGAAAAGCAAAACUCAACCAUUCAAUAUAAAAAUAUUGCUCUUAAAAUAUUUUUUGGCACAUUUAAUUUUUUUUAAAGUCAAAUAGUUAUAUUUUAUAAUAUAAUUCUACUUGUAGAUUUCUUAACAUAUAUCAUGCGUUAAUAGUUCCAUCAAAUUAUUAUAGACAAAACGAGAUAACUUUUCAACUAACCUAUUCUGCAGUAACAUAAUUUAUUAAGACACUUUCCAAUUUGCGGAGGGGUACAUAAUUUAUCUUGACAGUGAAAAUCACUCUUGCAUUUAUAACGUACUGCAAUGUGAAAAAUAUAUAAAAGAAAAUGUUAAUGAAAGAUGACGAUUUUAUUUUUGUACAUUGAUAAUUGUUUAAAUAAGAAGAAAACAUCAUUAAUAUAUCAAUGCCAAUUACACUAGUGAAUAAUAAUUCUUACAUAAACACAAAUUCAAAUAAAAAAUAUUUGGACGCAUACACACAAUUGACAAAAAGUUAAAUGUAAAAUAUUUUAGUCAUAGGACUUGAUAUUGUAUUAUUUAAUCAUCUUUUCUUCUAUUUUUUAUUUAGUUUUGUAUGUGUACCUAAAUAAUUUACAUUUAGAGUUGUGCCCAAGUAAAUAUAUCUCACUUAUUUUAUAAAUGUUUUAAGUUGAAUUUAAUUAAAUUUCCUCUUGAUAUUACAAAGUCAAACUGUAACUACAAAUUUUAUUUUGAAUUUGCGUAUAAAAUAAAUAAGAAAAGGAACAGAAAAGGGGCUUACUAAAAUCGCUGGUUACAACAUGAAAUAGCAAAAGAAAAAGGGUCAUCACAUAAACAAACUUUAUAAUUGCAGUCAUAUUUCUCCUCAUUUACAUGUAGUAUAAAAACAAAUUAAAAGUCUAUAAAUCGACCAAUUUAUUUAUAACGUAAAAUCCAUCAUACUCUUAUUAUACUUCAAUUUAAAAAUAAAAAAUAUUUACCAUAUAAAAAUAUUAUUACUUUGUUACAAAUUAACUUUUUUUUUAAUUAAAAUUAUUAUUAAAUGUCUCAAUAAUUAGUACUGAUAGGUCAUCCUUGACCCUUUGUCUCACCGAAGUGGUGAGUUGAACUUUGUAUGAAUCUCACAUUCAAAUCUUGUUGGCAAUCAAAGUUAGUUUAUUUUUUUUAUCAACCUUUUAUUAUUAUUAUUAUUAUUAUUAUUAUUAUUAUUAUUAUUAUUAUUAUUAUUAUUAUUAUUAUUAUUAUUAUUAUUAUUAUUAUUAUUAUUAUUAUUUGUAUUUCUUUUGAUCAUUCAUGAUAGACAAGGGAAACAUACCAAAAUCAGAAGUUUUCAACGAUUGCAAAAUUAAUAGUCGAAGUAAUAUAAAAUUCAGCGACCAUAAUAUUGUAUAUAUGUAAAAUUAUAUUUAAAUUUCUAUACAAUGUGUUGUAUUUUGUGUUACUUGAUUUCUUUUCUUUCAUAAUAUUGACACAAUAUUCCCACCGUUAUUUAACGGUACCUAAUCUCUAUCGUAGAACUCGUGAGUAAUAUGGUAUAUUAUCCUAUUCAGAUUUUUUUAUAAACAUUUCUUGAUAAGAGAUUAAAUUCUUUGACUACUUGCUCAAAUGGUCUAAAUGUCUUACACUACAAGAAUACAUUGAUUUUAUAAUGGAUUUAAUUUAAUCAAAUAGCGGGUAGCACAAUUUUUAACACUAAUAAGAACUAACUAGUUAACAUAUAUGUACACUUCAAUAUUAUUUAUGUUUAUAAUAUUAUAUGAAUCUCUCUUCAAAAAAUUUAUAAUAAUUUUAAUAAAAAAUUAAUCAAAUAUGAAUUUUCAAACACUAAAUUCUCUAUUAUUAAUAAAAAUUUGAGUACCUUGUUUCUAAAAUAUUUUUUCUGAGUACUUUGUCUAAAUGAAUUACAUAUUUUAAUGUAUCUAUAAAUUAUUAAUUAAACUAUUAGUCAAAAAAAAUAAAUUAUUAAACUAUAAAACAGUAAAAGGGAUGCUUCAAAACAAAAUUAGAAGGGAGAUUUGAAUUAUUAAUAUAGGAGAAAAUAAUACCGGGAGGUUAAUUAAGCAAAUUGAGUGAACGGAUUAGGGUUUAAGACAACAACCAGAAACUAUUAGUAUGAACUUCAUAAUUUAGUUAGCGGGGGUUAAAAACAGCUGCAAAGUAGCUUGUAAACCACCGUUUCUAUUCUUAUGAAAUUUUUUAAAUUCAUUAAAAGUACAAUAAAUCUAAAAAGUAUAUUUUUACUUAUAAAGUGACUAUUUUUUUUCCACCUUCCUUUUGCAAUUUAAAGUGUGUUUGCUUUGCAUAUAUGAGAAGUUUUUGUUGGAUAUUUUAUCUAAUAAUUUAUUUUAAAGUUAAUUUAUAUAUAUUAACUAAUUAUUCAUUAUAUACACGUUUCAUAAUUAAAUGGUUGUCUAGUCAAUUAGCUCAUGUUAUUAGUUGCUAUACCAUCGGUUACAAUCUUUAUAAAUAGCAAUCAUGAUUUGGAUUGAAGAAGAGAAGAAUACAACGUAAACAUAUGAGAGUGGAUCUAGGUAUGGCGCGCUUAUAUAUAAUAAGUUUUCUAUACGACAAAACAAUGAAGAGUGGUAAUGAGUAACAUAAGUAGAAUAAUAAAGUUCUCAUGAGCAUUUAAAAGUAGUUCUUGAGACCUUAUUAAUUCACGUGCGGUGCUAGUAAGAAGUGACGAUUGUAUUUUGAAGGGUAUUAGUUAUGAGACCAACUGCACUGGAUAACUUACCUGUGAUGGCGAAAUACUAUUAAGCCCAAUAUAUUUGCAUGCCUCAGUCAAAUCCGAUAAGUUCUUCUUGUUUUCAAUUUUAUUGUAUAGUCUGUAUUAUUUAUUUGUGAUAAUAUUUCUUUAUAUGAGAAUAAUUCCAUAUCAUAUUUUUCCAACAAUCUUAAGAGUAUUUAUGUUGACAUGAAAUUAUGUGUAGAAUUAUCAUUAAUUUUAUUUUGGAACAAAUGAUUUGUUGAUUUUCUCGGUUCAAUCUAUAAGAGCAUGGUGUAAUCAAGUCGAUUGAAGUUUUAAACUUUUCUCCCAUUGAAACCAUCCCCAAGGGACAAGGUACACAUAUUCUAAUAUCUAAACUUCACAAAUCAUAUCUUGUGUUUGUUGAUAUUAUGAUUGUAUGAUGAAUUUCUAUGAAAAUAUCUUGAUUAUAUAUGGUCUAAUGCCACUAAAUUUAUUGUUGUGAAUUAUUUUGAUAAUUAUUGUCUUAUUCGUUGGACUUAGAAUUUUUGAACUUGAGUAUUAUUUUUAAAAUAUGUUGAAUAUUGUUGAUUCAUUUUAUUUGGAAUAUGUGAAUAUGCAUGUUGUAAUAAAUCUUAGAUUUGAUGGAAAAUUGUCAAUGUUGGAGUUAUGUUUUAGUCCUCAUAUUUGCGGCAUGAAAAAGAAUAUGAUUUUUUUUCCGAAGAAACUAAAUUAGUCUAUUUAAAUUUGCAUCAGAGAGAAUCGAACCUCCGACCUCAAGGGGAGUAUACUCCCAGGUCCCAAACCAAUAUCAAUGAAGUGAAUGAACCAACCCAAGUGGGUUAAAAAGAAUAUGAUAUUGAGUAUCUAUUUUGCUUUGAUUGUAUUUCCUUGAGAUGAGACCAAAUAUUGAUAUUGUAUUAAUAUGUGUAAGACAUAUUAUUUUACUGAUUUAAUAGGUGUUUGUGUUUUGAUUUUUAAGAUUGUAUUUUCCUAGUUUGAGCGCCGCCCACCAGAAUCUGCUGCGUCGCAUCACCGUUACAUCCACAGUUUACACGUUUCAACCCGUAUGUAGUCAUCAAUCACUACCAUUCACUAUUGGAGGCUCAUGGUUAAGUAUUGCGGAGAUGGCUGGUGCUCCUUUGAUUUACAAAACGACUCUUCACGAUUCACAAGAUGGAAAUUGCAAUGAGGUGCUGCCCAAUUAUGCUUCAGGCUCGCCUUCCGAUCAACAAAACAAAACUUUACCAGCCACUGAGAGUAAAAAAAAUCGUUUGCACAGAUCCUGUGUAACGACGGCGAAUAAUUUAACUUGAGCCAACUUCCCCAACCUUGUGUGAAGGGAGAUUCAGUCAGCGUUAAAAUUACAGAGGAGGAGUAUCACAGAAGCGUUGAUGACUGCAGGAAUCAUCUGCAUGAUUGAUUAAUCAUGGGAAAAGGAGUCAAGCUUGUUAUAGCGAAAGAACUCACCUUAAAAUUGGGAUCGAUAUGGCAAGGCGUUGCUCCAUGGAAGCUUGUCCUUCUUGGGAAGGGCUUUUUUGAAUUUAGCUUCAGUUUGGCUGAAUAUAAAAGUAGGCAUGUCAACAGAACCCGUACCCGCGGGUAUCCGCCCGAACCCACNNNNNNNNNNNNNNNNNNNNNNNNNNNNNNNNNNNNNNNNNNNNNNNNNNNNNNNNNNNNNNNNNNNNNNNNNNNNNNNNNNNNNNNNNNNNNNUGAUAAUUUUGGUUUGAUAUUUUGAAAUAUCAUUUCAUUUGUAUGUUUAAUGCAUUGAAAUUUUGGUUUGUACUUUAUUAUUUGAAAUUUUUUGUAUUGUAUGUAUGUCAGCAUUCGGGCAAAUUUUGGGUUCGGGUAAGGUUCAACAAGGCAGGGCAAGGUUCGGGGAUACCCGAACCCAUUUGGGUAUACCUGAACUCAUUUGGGACGGGGUUUGGGUUCAAUUUUUCAUCCCCGUCGGGUAAUGGGCGGGAAACGGGUAUUUAUCAAUGAUUCGAGUAUGGGGAACGGGGAAGGUAAAAACCGUCCCCGAUCAGCCCCAUUGCCAUGCCUAUACAAAAGGAAAGCUUGGUCUUUGUGUAAUUGUAACCUAAAGCCUGGGUUGUUGCGGUUGUCAAAUGGAAGCCUGACUUUUUUCCUCACACGCAACGUCAAACGCAUGUGCAAUCAUGGAAUGACAUAUAUGAACUUCCUCAGGAGUACUGGAGACCGAUAACUUUGUUUGAAAUUGCAGGAGGAGUUGGCACACCUUUGAUGUUAGAUGAGGCCACAAAAAAUAGAUCCUUUGGACACUAUGCGAGAGUGUUGGUGGAUAUAGAUUUAUCUAAACGCGCAUUUGAGGCAAUAUUGGUGGAACGAGAGGGCCACGCGUUUUAUGUUGAUGUGGUGUAUGAGAAGCUACCAGAUUAUUGCACCCACUGUCAAUCCAUCGGUCACUCCGUUAAAGCUUGUAACAAGUUGCAACCAAGAUUGGCAAUGAACCGAGAUGAGCGGGCCAGCAAACCAGUGAUGGCUAAACCUCAGACGAAAGCCAUUUACAUUGAGAAAGAUAACACUUCCAAAGUUGCCCGAUCGAUAAAGAAAGAAGCAGAGAUAGCAAGGAAAGACAACAUUGUUGAAGGGAUUGUGGCUCUUAAUAUUUCACUGAAUAGUGAGCCUAUCAUUACACCAGUAAAUAUGGAUGCGGAACAUGUGAACAAUUAUGAUAUUAAUAUUGAUGUUAAUCUUGAUGAUGAGAAUACUAUUGUUAUUCAUGAUUUUGCAGAUGAUGCACUUAUGAAUAAAUUGAGUGGGGAAGAGGCUACUGUUUUGGAUACUACUGACAAUGUUAUUCCUGCAACUCAUUGAGUUCGGGAUAUUUAAGAGAUACUUAGAACAGAGAACUUCCGUUAGUGGUUCAAAAAGACAUUCAAAUUAUUCGACAAGCAUGGGCUGAUGCGGAGAAUUAAGAAUUCACACCUUACGUCUCCAAACACCAACACAAGAAAAAUAACAAAAUAGUUAGAAGUGCAGGGCAACCUUAUAACACUCGUUUUAAGGGUUCCCCUCUGCAAGGUCGUUAUAAAGUUCUCAUGGGAUAAGUAGAUCUCAUAUGUUAUUGUUUGAAUAAUGGUUUUGCUUCUUUUUCCUUUAUGGUAAGGCCUAGUCUCCCCCUUGUACAUAUUUUAUUUUUAUUUAUUUAUAUAUUUAAGAGUUAUAGGUAGAGAAUAGGGACAUCGCGAGAUCCCAACUUAGUUGGUAUGUUUAGUUGUUUCCGGAUUUUUAGAUGCUCUUGAUUCGGUUAAAAAAAAAUGUAGUUUGUGAUUGGAAAAAUUAUUUCAUACAAGUGAAUUUUAUUUAAUAUUAAUCAAACGUAUGUAUCGUUGAUGAUGAUUGAAAUGUUCGAUAAUUAUAUACUCAUUUUUAUAUUUUGAGACCACAUGUUAACAUGUAUGAGUUGAGUGAUGAUUUGAUAAAUUUUACUUUAAAGUAAAUUAUUAUAGUGGCUUCUAUUUUUGAAAGAUUGAUAGUAUACCAAUAUGUGCAAUAACUUGAGAAGUGUCUUAGGAAGUUUAAAUAUUUUGGAAUUAAAAUAUGGAGCAUCCCUUAUGAUGUUUGUGCUACUUGAGCAAAGAUAUUUGAGAGAUACCAUAAAAUUAUAAUAUGGUACAUAUUAUGGAUUUAUUCAUUGUAUUAAAAUAAUAUAAUGAUGUUUAAUAAAACCUUUGAUAGAAAAAAGAAUAUUUUUGCGGAUUAAUUUCUUUAAUGUGGGGUUUUGUCGCUUUAAAUUCUUUCAAGUAGAGACUUGAAUAAAUAAUUUGUAUGGAGAAUUAAUUCUACCAAAUGUGGGGGUGUCGUCACAUGGAAAUUUUCAAGUUGACCUAUACAAUAAAUCUAAACAUAGAUUGAAUUUCUUCUUUUGUGAGAAUGUUGUUGCCUAGAAUUUAUCUAAGUAAACCUAUGAUAAUAUAUCAUGGAUGUAUGUUUGGCAAUAUAUGAUGAAAUAUUGAUUAAGAGACGUUUUAGUCAAUGAAUAAUUUAAUUUUCUCAAACAGUUGUUGAGUGAUGUAUAUAUAUAUAUAUAUAUAUAUAGGGUUGCUAAUUUACAACCAACUAAACACAUUAAGGUGUAAAUUAGCAAUGCACACCUUUUCACUUUGGACAAAAACUUUGACAUUUAGUUAUUUUACACUAGAAAAUUGAGGGUUAGUUAGGUAACUUUUAUUAAAUGUUGUACACUCAUUUGCUAAUUUACACCCCACACGUAAUUAUAAAUAUGUGCAACCUAAAUAAACAACUUAUUUAAACAGUUUUUUCCAAUUUGCAUAGUUUCUCUUUCAAGAAACUUGUUUCAUCAUAUUUUUUUUUUAAAUAAACUGGAGCAUGCCAUAUUUUUCUACUAAUAAAUAAAAAUAAAUAUUAGCAUAUAAGAUGUUGUUGGAUUCGUCUCGAUGAGUAGUUUCAAAAUAUCAAAUUUUUAUAAUUUAUACUAUUAUACAAUUAAAAAUAUUAAUCGUCAAAUUGGAUUGUAUAUAUUUUCUCAAGUUGUCUUUUUUUGAUUUCCUAGGUUGUCUUGUGUUUAUUAUGGUUGUAUAUAUUUAUAAUUGUUUGGGUGUAAAUUACUAAAUGGGUGCACAUCAUUUAAUAAAAUUUACCUAACUAAUCCAAAAUUUCCUAGUGUUAAAUUAGUAAAUAUCAAGGUUUUUUUGCUAAUUAACACCUUAAUGUUUUUAGUUAGUUGUAAAUUAGCAAUCCCCAUAUAUAUAUAUAUAUAUAUAUAUAUAUAUAUAUAUAUAUAUAUAUAUAUAUAUAUAAUGCAUCCUGUGAUAACCCACUGAGCAAGAAACUAAUGGAUGAUAUAUACAUUGAGAGAGAUAGAACUAUGUCCAAUAAAAAAAUUGAAAGUGAUGGUAACCCAACAUAGAUUGUGAAAAUUUCCAAGGCUAUGUUCAUAUUGAUAAGAACAAGUCACUUGUCAAUUUGAGGAGACACUAUCCAUUUUUAUUUUUGAGAAUUCAUCCAUAUGGUGUAGGAUAGUGUAUACUACAGUGUUAGAGGUUAAGUUUAUCUCUUAAUGAAUCUAUAGCUCAUGAAUGAAAGUGGUGUGCUUGACUGUGGUGUACACUUGAUAGAGUCACCUAUAUAUGAGUGUUGAGCUGAGGGCGCCUCCAUAAAAGCUUGGACAUACUUUCUAGAGACACUCAUGAAAUCCAGGUAUAUGUGCAAGGUCAAAAUGCACCACACCGCGUUGAACAACUUUGGACGAGAGAUCAAUGUGAGUAAUGAGAUCACUGAUUCACAUACGGAAAGAGGUUCAUAGAGGUAAAUAUGAAGAACACUUUUUAGUCAUUCUCUAUAUUCUUUUUUAAGGGCGACUAAAUUUUGCUUUUAAACAAUUCCAUUUUAUAAAUAUCAUUUUAUAAAAAUCAUUAUAUAGUACAUUAUUAUUGCAUAAAAUAAGAAAAUGUAAGAAACAUUUUAAGAGGUGCCACAUAGCACAAUGGAGGUUUAGAAGCAAUCUAAACGUUGCUUAUAGAGAUUACAUAGAGAUAUAGAUAAAUAGAUGCCAAUGUAAUAUGUUUUACAUCAUUUUAUUUGUGUUUGGACAAUAUAUAAUACAAAAGUUGUAUGUGCAUUAAUUGUAUGUCACGAAUGGUUCUUUUUUCCCUAUCAUAGAAAUUAAAAAGGUCAAAAAAUUAUAAACUAAAUAUGAGAAAAAAUAAAAGUAACAGUAACAACAGUAGUACAUCAAAAAUGAAAUAGCACAUCAAAAACCAACUAACCACUCUACAAAGUAAGCAAAUACAACCUGCUCAAGAUAUAUCAAACAAAACCCCUAGAAAGCGAAUUUUGUUUACAGUUUGCAAUUUAGAAAG
rnacentral:lncRNA from 1 species